rnacentral:rRNA from 1 species
AGCAGCCGCGGUAAUUCCAGCUCCAAUAGCGUAUAUUAAAGUUGUUGCAGUUAAAAAGCUCGUAGUUGAAUUUCGGGAUCAUCAGGUCGGUCGUGCCUCCGGUAUGUACUGGUCUCGAUGGUUCCUCCUUCUUGUAGAACCGUAAUGCCAUUAAUUUGGUGUUGCGGGGAAACAGGACUGUUACUUUGAAAAAAUUAGAGUGUUUAAAGCAGGCGAUCGCUUGAAUACAUUAGCAUGGAAUAAUGAAAUAGGACGUUCGAUCCUAUUUUGUUGGUUUCUAGGAUUGACGUAAUGAUUAAUAGGGAUAGUUGGGGGCAUUAGUAUUCAAUUGUCAGAGGUGAAAUUCUUGGAUUUAUUGAAGACUAACUACUGCGAAAGCAUUUGCCAAGGAUGUUUUCAUUAAUCAAGAACGAAAGUUAGGGGAUCGAAGACGAUCAGAUACCGUC